AUACCUAUAAUUAACCUUCUCCUACUUAUUGUCCCCACUCUAAUCGCUAUAGCAUUCCUUACACUCUUUGAAUGAAAAAUCUUAGGCUAUAUACAACUACGCAAAGGACAUAACAUCAUGGGCCCCUAUGGACUGCUCCACCAUUCGCUGAUGCAAUAAAACUUUUUACCAAAGAACCAUUAUGGCCCUCAACAUCUAAUAUUACCCUCUAUAUUAUUGCUCCAACCCUGGCCCUCUCCUUUUGUGAACCCCCCUGCCUAUACCAGAUCCCCUAAUUUAGGCCUAUUUAUAUUAGCCACAUCAAGCUUAGCUGUCUAUUCUAUUUUAUGGUCAGAAUGAGCAUCCAAUUCAAAUUAUGCACUAAUAGGCACAUUACGAGCUGUAGCCCAGACAAUUUCAUAUGAGGUCACCCUAGCCAUUAUUCUGUUAUCAGUUCUACUAAUAAGUGGCUCACUUAACUUGUACAAACUCAUCACAACACAAGAAUUUCUCUGACUGCUCCUAUCAUCAUGGCCCCUAGCCAUAAUAUGAUUUACCUCUACACUAGCAGAAACUAACCGAGCCCCUUUUGAUUUAACAGAAGGGGAGUCAGAAUUAGUCUCAGAUUUCAACUUCAAAUAUGCUGCAGGUUCAUUUGCCUUCUUUAUAGCAGAGUACAUGAAUAUUAUCAUAAUAAAUACCCUAACUACAAUUUUCCCCAAGAGCACUACACACUAUAUAUUCACCAGAACUCUAAUCCACAAGUCUCAUUAGCAAAACCCUCCUUUUUAACUUCUCUAUUUUUAUGAAUUCAAACAGCAUAUCCCUGAUUCUGCUACGACCAACUCAUACAUCUCCUAUGAAAAAAUUUCAUAUCACUAACACUAGCAUUCUGCAUAUAUCUCAAUGCCUAUUCUAAUUUA
rnacentral:lncRNA from 1 species